UCUUUUAUGGGGUGACUGCGUACCUUUUGUAUAAUGGGUCAGCGACUUAUAUUCUGUAGCAAGGUUAACCGAAUAGGGGAGCCGAAGGGAAACCGAGUCUUAACUGGGCGUUAAGUUGCAGGGUAUAGACCCGAAACCCGGUGAUCUAGCCAUGGGCAGGUUGAAGGUUGGGUAACACUAACUGGAGGACCGAACCGACUAAUGUUGAAAAAUUAGCGGAUGACUUGUGGCUGGGGGUGAAAGGCCAAUCAAACCGGGAGAUAGCUGGUUCUCCCCGAAAGCUAUUUAGGUAGCGCCUCGUGAAUUCAUCUCCGGGGGUAGAGCACUGUUUCGGCAAGGGGGUCAUCCCGACUUACCAACCCGAUGCAAACUGCGAAUACCGGAGAAUGUUAUCACGGGAGACACACGGCGGGUGCUAACGUCCGUCGUGAAGAGGGAAACAACCCAGACCGCCAGCUAAGGUCCCAAAGUCAUGGUUAAGUGGGAAACGAUGUGGGAAGGCCCAGACAGCCAGGAUGUUGGCUUAGAAGCAGCCAUCAUUUAAAGAAAGCGUAAUAGCUCACUGGUCGAGUCGGCCUGCGCGGAAGAUGUAACGGGGCUAAA
rnacentral:rRNA from 1 species